AAUGAACGCUGGCGGCGUGCUUAACACAUGCAAGUCGAACGGAAACAGGAUGAAGCCUAGCGAUUCCUGUUUUAGUGGCGGACGGGUGAGUAACGCGUGGGUAACCUGCCUUACACUGGGGGAUAACAGUUAGAAAUAGCUGCUAAUACCGCAUAAGCGCACAGGGCCGCAUGGCCUGGUGUGAAAAACUCCGGUGGUGUAAGAUGGACCCGCGUCUGAUUAGCUAGUUGGUGAGGUAACGGCCCACCAAGGCGACGAUCAGUAGCCGGCCUGAGAGGGUGAACGGCCACAUUGGGACUGAGACACGGCCCAAACUCCUACGGGAGGCAGCAGUGGGGAAUAUUGCACAAUGGGGGAAACCCUGAUGCAGCGACGCCGCGUGAGUGAAGAAGUAUUUCGGUAUGUAAAGCUCUAUCAGCAAGGAAGAAAAUGACGGUACUUGACUAAGAAGCCCCGGCUAACUACGUGCCAGCCGCCGCCGUAAUAC
rnacentral:rRNA from 1 species